rnacentral:rRNA from 1 species
UACGUAGGGUGCAAGCGUUAAUCGGAAUUACUGGGCGUAAAGCGUGCGCAGGCGGUUUUGUAAGUCUGUCGUGAAAGCCCCGGGCUUAACCUGGGAAUGGCAAUGGAGACUGCAAGGCUAGAGUUUGGCAGAGGGGGGUAGAAUUCCACGUGUAGCAGUGAAAUGCGUAGAUAUGUGGAGGAACACCGAUGGCGAAGGCAGCCCCCUGGGUCAAGAUUGACGCUCAUGCACGAAAGCGUGGGGAGCAAACAGG